rnacentral:lncRNA from 1 species
UGGGAACUAUGCUUUUAAUUUUCAUAUAUCUAUCCAAAAGUCCCCUAAACAUCAAAGAAACUCACCAGUCUCUCACCCCAGCCCCAAAAUUGAAAUCUAGCCACCUAGGAUUCCCCAACCCUUCACCACUAGCCGCCACUUAUCGAAAAUCACCUCACAACGGUAGUGAUACUCCAAAUCUGACCAAUAGGGCACCAUGCAAUUCACAUCCCCCCAAAUUCAUCACUAGUUUUUCCUAAAUCCCAGCCAAAUCACUUUAAUUUCUUAUCUGAAACCCAAAAAAAAAAAGAAAAGAAAACCCUAAUUUCUUUUUCCUUUUCUGACUUUCAUGCAAUUUCGACUCGUUUUGACCUAAAAAUCUCACGUAACAGAUUCUCAACAACAGCAAUCGAUUCAUGAUAGUUUUGAGUCAUUUCGAAAUCAUCGAAUUCGGAUAGGCUUGCCGAAUUCCAGCCAUAAUUCAUCAGUUCCAUUCGUCCAUGAAUUUUUCUAUCAUUACAGUUUUCUGAGUUAAAUCGGGGUAAAAUCUCAUCUCUCUUUUCUUCAAGUAGCAAUUUUUAUCUCAACACUGAUCUUCCCAUUUAUUUAUUGAUUGUUUUUCUUCAUUAGCUCUAUUUGUAUGAUAUGUAGAUCUUAGUUUAAUUUUAAUCAGUAUUUAGUUCAUUUGUUUGCAUGUUUAUGUUAAUUUCAAUCUGUCGUAGGUUAGUUUCAAUUGAACUUAAUUGUUAGUUAAUUGGUUUUUGUUGGGGUAGUUUGUACCAUCUUACUAAGGAGUUUGACCCUGAUAUUUGGUUUUGGGCUGGUCAAUGAAGGCCUUAUUAGUCAAGGCUUAAGUUGUAUUGGGCUAGAGCCUAUCUUGCGCCAUCUGGCCAUGACUUGGGUCUAUCUUAGGCCAUUUGGCUAUGAAAAUUGACCUAGAACUAAGAGCAAAGUUAUAAAAAUGUACUAAUUGUCCAGAAUUUAUUUUAAAAAGAUGCUGGAAAAUGGAUAGUUGUACAUUAUUCUCUAUCAAUAUGUUGUACUAUCCAAAGAAUUAGGUCAGCAUAUUCUUUGGAUGCUAUUUUCGGUGACCCUAUAAAAAGAAAGUUACUCCCUCAUUCUAGAUAGAUUUUAUAGACCCUAAAAACACUUUAUUGAAUUUAGCUUCUACUGUUCCAUUAGAGUCGAUCAAAUUUUUUAAUUUUCAAAGAAAAUUUUGAGCCAUUUCCUGGGAUUUCUGGUUCUCUAAGUAAAAUUUUAAGCUAUGGAGCUGUGUGGUAUUUGUUGUUGUAUGCUGCUGAUUUUCUAUUGAAGUUUCUUGUUGAUAUCUUUUGCUUCUCAGAGAUUGUCUCGCUUUAUUUCUAUUGUAUCCAGGUACUCCAUGAACCUUUGAGCGACAAAAUGAAACUCUAAGCAUGUGUUUAGUUUGAUUGUAAUAAGAAGUUUAUAUUCAAAUGUUGAUCUUCAGUUUUCUCUUACAUAUUCUUUCAUGUUAUUUAGUUUUUCUUUUGCAAUUGCAUACUUUUGUUUAAGCAUGUUGUAUUCUGCCUAAUAGCUAGUUUUCCGAUUAGGAGUUGCAUUGUGCUAAAGGUUUAGAUUAUUUUAUUUUUUAUAUAUUUUUCAUAAUUGCUCAGGUAACCCCCUUGGUUGUUUAUUGGAGAAUAUCGAUUAGUAUGUCAUACACGUUUGGAAAAAAUGCAGUGUUUGGUUGCUAAAUACAUGCAGUUAAAUCAUCACUAUUUUCAGCAUUGUAAAAUGAUUAUAUAUUAAAGUUUAAGUUGAUUCAUGAAUAAUUUUAGGGUUUAGUCUUUUGUUAAUAGCAUAUUAAUAGGUUAAACUUAUGUUAUGGUUUGUCAGCCUUUGAUUUUUUUACAAUUUUUAUAUUGUUUUUUGUUACAUGUGAAUUAGAGGAUGCUGAGCCUCAUUUGGGGCAGCUUGUUAAAAUCAGCCCAACGUGUACCUGCUCCAUUUUUCCUUGCACUUUUGGGCUCAAUUUCAAGCCCAAGCAACUUCGAUACUUUAUCCACUAAGUUUACUUUUCAGU